AGUGAAGUUGCUGGGUCAUAUGGUUAUUCUAUGUUUAACUUAUUGAGGAACUGUCAAACUGUUUUCCAAAGUGGCUGUACCAGUUUACAUUCCCACCAGCAAG
rnacentral:pre_miRNA from 1 species